rnacentral:misc_RNA from 1 species
AACUUUUGACAAUGGAUCACUUGGCUCUCCCAUCGAUGAAGAACGCAGCGAACUGCGAUACGUAAUGUGAAUUGCAGAAUUCAGUGAAUCAUCGAAUCUUUGAACGCACCUUGCGCCGCUCGGUUUUCCGAGGGGCACGUCUGUUUGAGUGUCACGUUAAUCUCUCACUUCCCUUUGGGUGGAGUGGAAUUGGACUGUGCUGUCGCUUGCUCGUACGGCUCGUCCCGAAAUGCAUGGUUUGCCUGCAGAGUCUUGCGCGGAGCGGGACCGAUGAAACGGUGUGAUAUUUACUAUCUGCGCUGUACUAGUCGGACUCCAGCCUGCUGCACCAGGAGCGCUCUGGGCUUACAAUGGAGAGGGUGAGGAAUGUCAUUGUCCUGUGCCCCCAUUUAACUCUUUGUAUUUGACCUCAAAUCAGACGGGACUACCCGCUGAAUUUAGGCAUAUCAAUAAGCGGAGGCU